CAGGGAGCUCUUGAAAAUGUAUUCAUUGGAAAACAGUAACUCAGAAAGUGAUAAUUAACUUCACCUAUCGUGACGACUUCAAAAGUGAAUAUCAUGCACUGCUUCCUCAGUGAUGAUGUUACACUACUAGUGUCAUGUGUUUAUGUUGACUGUGAAAUAUGGAUUGAGGUUAUUCUAUAAUUCUCUGGGUCUGAAUAUUAUCUGAGGCUACGAGUUAGGGUUAUCUAGUUGGAUGCUGUCACCAAUGCCAAUGUUAGACAAUAAUGUAAUGUUAGACAAUAACUAAUGUAAUGUUAGAAAAUAAUGUAGCAUUACAGCUGUUCAUCAUGAUGUAAUACAGAGAGUAUAAUACAGAGCAUUAAUUACAUUUAGCAAGUGUUUUGGACAAGGCAAGUUGUUGUAAUUUGGAGGAUGGGUUAGGGCCAUAUUUCUUCAUGUAUUGGUGAAUGUUAAUGCUGGUUAACAGGUGCAGACAGUCCGUGCCUAACGGAAAUUAGCUAGUUGAGUAAUGUUGAGGCCAAAAGUUCUUCACAAGGUUAACAUGACAAAAAGAGAGGUUGGGGGUUACAGUAGGUUGUAAUGCUUUCCACUGUCUGUAAUGUUGGUUGACUUAAUUAGGUUGUGCAAAAAAUUGGCGGUGAGGUGCUCAAGGUUGGAAAAUAAAUAUUCACAAGUCAACUAGAUUUUCCUGGUGAGUCUACAGCAUCAUUUUGUCUAUUAGGAGAGUGGAGGUCACAUUUCCAAAAUUACACAAUUUGGUAUUCUGUAAUGCAAUUUCUCAGUUAAAGUCCAAAAGCAUUUGUCCAUAUUUUGUAGCUAACAGUUAACAAAUACUGUUUUUGCUCUUUUACAGCAUAUCAAAUGGAAGGGAGUGGGACUCUUGUCUUCCUAGAUGGCAGAGAGAUCUUAUCUCUCUCACAGCUUCAGAGAGUCAUCUCACAGUUCCUGAGGCGGCGAAGGAUCCGUGUAAAUUUACCGUGAAGGCUCUUAGAAGUGCUAUUCAAGAGGGAGAUUUCCUUUAAAGCUCUCAUUUAAAACCUUCAGAAGACAAAAAAAAAAAGUGCUCUUUCCUCACGAGGCCCAACAUCCAUUUUCCCAUUUCUGCUCACGAUCCUCAAAUGCUCGCCGGUACCUUUUUCAAAAUUGUGAAUUAAGUGACUUAAAUUGUUUGUCUUACUCUACUGUCAGUUAUCGGAUGAAAUCUGAGUGUCCAUCUCACCCAAUUUGUUUUGCGACUCAUACGUAACUAUUACAAAAGGU
ensembl:lncRNA